rnacentral:rRNA from 1 species
GACGAACGCUGGCGGCGUGCUUAACACAUGCAAGUCGAACGGAAAGGCCCUGCUUUUGUGGGGUGCUCGAGUGGCGAACGGGUGAGUAACACGUGAGUAACCUGCCCUUGACUUUGGGAUAACUUCAGGAAACUGGGGCUAAUACCGGAUAGGAGCUCCUGCUGCAUGGUGGGGUUUGGAAAGUUUCGGCGGUUGGGGAUGGACUCUCGGCUUAUCAGCUUGUUGGUGGGGUAGUGGCUUACCAAGGCUUUGACGGGUAGCCGGCCUGAGAGGGUGACCGGCCACAUUGGGACUGAGAUACGGCCCAGACUCCUACGGGAGGCAGCAGUGGGGAAUAUUGCACAAUGGGCGGAAGCCUGAUGCAGCAACGCCGCGUGCGGGAUGACGGCCUUCGGGUUGUAAACCGCUUUCGCCUGUGACGAAGCGUGAGUGACGGUAAUGGGUAAAGAAGCACCGGCUAACUACGUG